rnacentral:rRNA from 1 species
CCUACGGGCGGCAGCAGUGGGGAAUAUUGGACAAUGGGCGAAAGCCUGAUCCAGCCAUGCCGCGUGUGUGAAGAAGGCCUUCGGGUUGUAAAGCACUUUCAGUGGGGAAGAAAGCCUUGGGGCUAAUACCCUCGAGGAAGGACAUCACCCACAGAAGAAGCACCGGCUAACUCCGUGCCAGCAGCCGCGGUAAUACGGAGGGUGCGAGCGUUAAUCGGAAUUACUGGGCGUAAAGCGCGCGUAGGCGGUCUGAUAAGCCGGUUGUGAAAGCCCCGGGCUCAACCUGGGAACGGCAUCCGGAACUGUCAGGCUAGAGUGCAGGAGAGGAAGGUAGAAUUCCCGGUGUAGCGGUGAAAUGCGUAGAGAUCGGGAGGAAUACCAGUGGCGAAGGCGGCCUUCUGGACUGACACUGACGCUGAGGUGCGAAAGUGUGGGUAGCAAACAGGAUUAGAUACCCUGGUAGUC